GACGAACGCUGGCGGCGUGCUUAACACAUGCAAGUCGAACGGAAAGGCCCUGCUUUUGUGGGGUGCUCGAGUGGCGAACGGGUGAGUAACACGUGAGUAACCUGCCCUUGACUUUGGGAUAACUUCAGGAAACUGGGGCUAAUACCGGAUAGGAGCUCCUGCUGCAUGGUGGGGGUUGGAAAGUUUCGGCGGUUGGGGAUGGACUCGCGGCUUAUCAGCUUGUUGGUGGGGUAGUGGCUGACCAAGGCUUUGACGGGUAGCCGGCCUGAGAGGGUGACCGGCCACAUUGGGACUGAGGUACGGCCCAGAGUCCUACGGUAGGCAGCAGUGGGGAAUAUUGCACAAUGGGCGGAAGCCUGAUGCAGCAACGCCGCGUGCGGGAUGACGGCCUUCGGGUUGUAAACCGCUUUCGCCUGUGACGAAGCGUGAGUGACGGUAAUGGGUAAAGAAGCACCGGCUAACUACGUG
rnacentral:rRNA from 1 species